GAUGAACGCUGGCGGCGUGCUUAACACAUGCAAGUCGAACGGAAAGGCUCCUGCUUGCAGGGUUACUCGAGUGGCGAACGGGUGAGUAACACGUGGGUGAUCUGCCCUGCACUUCGGGAUAAGCCUGGGAAACUGGGUCUAAUACCGGAUAGGACGAUGGUUUGGAUGCCAUUGUGGAAAGUUUUUCGGUGUGGGAUGAGCUCGCGGCCUAUCAGCUUGUUGGUGGGGUAAUGGCCUACCAAGGCGUCGACGGGUAGCCGGCCUGAGAGGGUGUACGGCCACACAGGAACGGAGACGCGGUCCAGACUCCUACGGGAGGCAGCAGUAGGGAAUCUGCCGCAAUGGGCGAAAGCCUGACGGAGCAACGCCGCGUGAGUGAUGCAGGUCUUCGGAGCGUAAAACUCUGUUAUUAGGGAAGAACAAAGGUGUAAGUAACGAUGCACGUCUUGACGGUACCUAAUCAGAAAGCCAGGGCUAACUACGUG
rnacentral:rRNA from 1 species